rnacentral:rRNA from 1 species
AGUGAACGCUGGCGGUAGGCCUAACACAUGCAAGUCGAACGGCAGCACAGUAAGAGCUUGCUCUUACGGGUGGCGAGUGGCGGAUGGGUGAGGAAUACAUAGGAAUCUUCUUUUUCGUGGGGGAUAACGUAGGGAAACUUAUGCUAAUACCGCAUAUGACCUACGGGUUAAAGCAGUGGAUCUUCGGACCUUGGCGGAUUGAAUGAGCCGGUGUCGGAUUAGCUAGUUGGGGGGGUAAAGGCACACCAAGGCAACGAUCCGUAGCUGGUCUGAGAGGAUGAUCAGCCACACUGGAACUGAGACACGGUCCAGACUCCUACGGGAGGCAGCAGUGGGGAAUAUUGGACAAUGGGCGCAAGCCUGAUCCAGCCAUACCGCGUGAGUGAAGAAGGCCUUCGGGUUGUAAAGCCCUUUUGUUGGGAAAGAAAAGCAGCAGAUUAAAACCCCGCUGUUCUGACGGUACCCAAAGAAUAAGCACCGGCUAACUUCGUG